rnacentral:piRNA from 1 species
UAUCUGUAAACAGAGGGCCGAGGUUGGAUGU